UCCGCCGUUCCCCAAAUCCGCUCACGAGAUCUCGAGCCUUCGCCUGCAACAGAGCCGCCGCUUCCCCAAAUCCGCUCACGAGUUCUCGAGCCCUCCUCCAACGACAUCAGCUCACGAAUCUCGAGCCUUCGAAGGAGGAGGUCAUGGGGAUCUUCACCGUCAUCGCCAGCGCCACCUCGAGAUCCGUCGCCUUCGCCUGCAACAGAGCCAUCGUCAGCCGCCACCGAUCUCGAGCUCUUGUGAUCUUGUUGCAGUACUUUCUUAGGAGUUCGGAAUGGAGUCAGAAAAUUCAACUACUGUAGAGUUCGGAAUGGGAGAAUCAAGUGUUAUUGGAAGUGGAAUUGCGGCCAAUACUCUAAAUUCUCGGUAAUGAUUAAAAUUUUCUCGGUAAUGAAGGGCUUAAUAUUUUUGAGCUAUCUUGUAAAAUCUGAGUGAAUAGCAUCAAUGGUGGGUGGUUGGAACACAGGUUGAGCAUUCUCUUUUAUGCAGCUAUCUUGUAAUGUGAUUUGAGCUUAUAUUCAGCUACUUCGGUUGUAACUUUGGAGGUUAAGUCUGUCUUUGAUGAAACUCUGUUUGAUGUUGUAACUCAUGAUGUAACUCUGUUUGAUGCUUGUAGCUUUGAUGUGGCUUAUAUUCAACUACUUUGGUUGUAGCUCAAUUCUCUUUUAUGCAGCUAUCUUGUAAUGUGAUUUGAGCUUAUAUGCAGCUAUCUUGUAAUGAUUAUUCAGCUACUUUGGUUGCA